GGGCAGAGAGUUGCUGUGGUUUCACCAGUGGAGGAUCCGAGAGGGGUGCAAGGGCGGCGACGUUUGUACAAUGCCGAAUAAAACGAAAAAGGACAAGGAUUCAUCAAAAUCUGGGAAAGUGGGCAAAAGCGGAGGAGGGCAGGAGAAUUCACAACAUGAGCAGAGCUCCAACAGGAAGACCAGCAACAGCGUCCCGCCGACCACCCAGCUCCUCAAGGGCAAGCAGCCGGGCUCCCAGACGCCCGUCAAGAAGGACAAACGGCAGAGCUCCUCUCGCUUUAGCUUGAGCAACAACCGGGAGUUGCAGAAGCUGCCCGCUUUCAAAGAUGUUGCCCCGGCCGAGCAGGAGAAGCUUUUCAUCCAGAAGCUGCGGCAGUGCUGCGUCCUCUUCGAUUUUAUCUCGGAUCCGCUGAGUGACCUAAAAUGGAAAGAGGUGAAGCGGGCGGCGCUGAGUGAGAUGGUGGAGUACAUCACGCACAACCGCAACGUCAUCACCGAGCCCAUCUACCCCGAAGUGGUCCACAUGUUUGCCGUGAAUAUGUUCAGGACCUUGCCGCCGUCGUCCAACCCAACGGGCGCCGAGUUCGAUCCAGAGGAAGACGAGCCCACGCUGGAGGCCGCGUGGCCGCAUCUUCAGCUCGUCUACGAGUUCUUCCUGCGCUUCUUAGAGUCGACCGACUUUCAACCCAACGUAGCCAAAAAAUACAUUGACCAGAAGUAUGUAAUGCAGCUCCUAGAAUUGUUUGACAGCGAAGACCCCAGGGAAAGAGAUUUUUUAAAGACCACCCUGCAUCGCAUCUACGGGAAGUUCCUGGGCCUGCGAGCGUACAUUAGGAAACACAUUAAUCACAUAUUUUAUAGUUUUAUUUAUGAGACUGAGCAUCAUAAUGGAAUUGCUGAACUACUGGAAAUAUUGGGCAGUAUAAUCAAUGGAUUUGCGUUACCCUUGAAAGAAGAACACAAGAUAUUCCUACUGAAAGUUCUGCUGCCGUUGCACAAAGUGAAAUCAUUGAGCGUUUACCACCCGCAGCUGGCCUACUGUGUGGUACAGUUCCUCGAGAAGGACAGCACGCUCACGGAACCGACCGUUAUGGCUCUGUUGAAGUACUGGCCCAAGACCCACAGCCCCAAAGAGGUGAUGUUCCUCAACGAGCUGGAGGAGAUCCUGGACGUCAUCGAGCCGUCCGAGUUCGUCAAAGUCAUGGAGCCGCUCUUCAGGCAGCUGGCCAAAUGCGUGUCCAGCCCGCACUUCCAGGUGGCCGAACGGGCGCUCUACUACUGGAACAACGAGUACAUCAUGAGCCUGAUCAGCGACAACGCCGCCAAGAUCCUGCCCAUCAUGUUCCCGGCGCUCUACCGCAACUCCAAAACGCACUGGAACAAGACCAUCCAUGGCUUGAUCUAUAAUGCCCUCAAGCUUUUCAUGGAGAUGAACCAAAAGCUGUUUGACGACUGUACGCAGCAGUUCAGGGCAGAGAAAAGCAAAGAGAAAGCCAAAUGGAAGGAGCGAGAAGAAGCCUGGCUCAAGAUUGAGAAUCUCGCCAAGUCCAAUCCGCAGUUUCUGACGUACACUGAGCCGGUGAACUCCAGCGGACCAACGGACAUGGAGACGGACGGGCCGCUGCUAGAUGACGUCAGCCUGCUGAAGAAAACAGUAGCCGAGGAAGCCACACAGCUGCAGAAAGACCAGCGACGAGAGCGGCCGCUAAUGCGGAGGAAAUCCGAGCUGCCCAAGGACAUCUCCACCGUCACAGCUCUGGAGCUUCACCGGAGAGCAGAAGAGAUGUUGACCACGCACGACGGCCACUAACGAGCCACGAAUCUCUCGGCCCGGCCCGGCCAGGCACAACGCAUCCGUUCAACCCCGCCACCCUACCUUGCCCCUUUUCAACCUCAAGCUGCAGCGGACAAAGCGGCGCUGGGUCGUCACCCAUCACCACCUCCUUUUGUGUUCUCCCUUCCUCUUGACUAUUAUAUCUGGGGUGAUGUGCUGCCCCCUUGUGGUCAUUGCUCUCAGGCGUUCCGUCUCUUUCUAGAUGUCAGGUGCUUUCACAACAGCGACAAAAACAAACAAUAAUGUCAGCAUGUGCCCAGUGUAAAAUCUUCAAGUGGAGGCAAGUUUUUAAUAUAGUUUUCCAAAUAUUGAAGGUGAUGGUCACGCCGACUUAUCUCCUGAGUUAAGGUCUGUCAAAAUAAAACCUCUUAUUUUUGUAGGGGAGACAGGUUGUUAAGCACCAAUUUCCUGAGAGGUGCCGCUGCAAUGGGGCGGCAGAAUCUACCUGACAGUCUUCGCUUCAUCUCAGAUGUGACCCCUCAACCCCCACCCCACCCCUUCCUUUGCUCAUUGACCCCCAGGUAGGGAUGACACUGCUUCACACAGGAGGUAUGUUUGUUUUCAUUUUUUUAAGAAGAGCUCAAACGCGCCUUUCUUUUUUCGCAGUGCCUUUUUUAUGAAGGGGGACAUUUGAUCAAGUAGGAAUUUUAAAAAGUCCUCCAAAGCACACGCCUUGCUUUAAAGCCCGCCCCCCCAACCUCCUGCCGAAUAAACGGGGGGGGGUCUCGUUAGAGGUGCGGGAGCCUCUCGAACGAACGAAGCACUUCCUGAUUACACUUGAACGUUUAAAAACUCGUAAAGAGAUCUCGUCGCGUCUCACCCAUUUGAACAAUCUUGGUUUUGUGCCCACCCGCCCCGCCCCUGCCCACCCAACCAUCCACCAACACCUUUAAUCAUUAAGCUGAAUGUGCGAAUUAUAAAUAUGUCGCCUGUCAUCAGUAUUGUCUGGUUGCUGUCCUCUCUGGAAAAAAAGGCUUUAAUAAUGGCUCCUUUUUGGAGGCUCUCCCGGUUCCACAUAAGCUUCUUUUUUUUUCUCACAGAAUGACUAUUACAAGUGUCUUUUACGUCUCAUACUAAAUGGCUUGUACAUAUGAUGUACUAUUAUUUUAUGCUACAAAUAAAUGUUUAGAGUCCAUAUUUUGUACAAAAUAUCCCCCCACACUCUCCCAUGUGUACAGAAGAAAUAGUCAAAUCGUGGCAAAACAGUUUUAUAGCAGUUUAUUUUUGUCUCCAACAUGUUGAAAUCCUUGGAAAAUAAGAUUUCUUUUUGUGUGCGCGUGUGCUUUAACCCCCCCCCCCCCCUGUGAUGUACAUCUAUCUAUACACAGCAAAUAAAGAGAACAUGUGAGUUUUAUAUUUUCAUCCUAAAAAAAACUCAAACUGUAAGUCUUGUUUUUUGUUGUUGCUUCCAUCCAGAAAUAGUGGAUGUCCUUGAACCAUUUAAAAAAAAAUAACAGUAAAAUAUUGUACUUUGCUGCCCUCUGCUGGACAGCAUGCUCUAUUGUCGCCUAAUUAAAUGUUGGGUUGACAAAGUCCAUUUCAAACAACCACAUUGCUACUUUCCAUUCAUCCAUUCGGACUUGUAUUAUAUUUCAAAUUUGAUCUCAUGUCUUCUUUUACCACCAGGCAAGAAAAUGAGCAGUUGUCCCCCGACUGAACGUUACUAAUGAGAUCUAAUCUCCAUUUGAGCUUUGUCCUUGACACCGUUUGAAGGAGUUGCAGCGUGCUCCUUGCCCUCAGCCAUUCACAGUCUCCAAAUUGACUCCUCCAAGGUCGUUUGGGUUCUCUGUGUUUCAUUCACGCGUGAGCAAGCAAUGUUGGCACACCCAUUAAUAGUCCCUAAAGCAACACUAUUAAUCUUAAUAGCUUAAAUCUUGCGUGGUUAAUCCGACUUUUGCUUGAUUAUGAACACAUUGUUCGUCAUUGAGGGUCAAAUAUGUCAGUCGCCGCGCCCGCACCUUUCAACAAAAGGUCACUUGCGUUCAGGGUCGUCGCCUGCAGACUAAAGCGCUCAACUUUAAAUUUGGCGUGUUUUGUUAUGUAUCAAGCUUUUCUCUCACAGCCCUCCUUUUGACUUACACUCAAGCCCACCUCCCCUUAACGCUCGUCACGACCGAAUAUGUCAGAACCUAUCACUAUGGAAACAAGGCUCCAAAAAGUUUUGGAAUUUUUAAGGGAAAAAAAAUGUGGUACUUUACCUUGCAUUAUGCUUGGUGACUAAGGUGUGGGGUGCAGCAUUGAAAGCGUGACUCAUCAGUCCGAAUCUAAUGGGCCUCCACUCAAAAGAUUUUUUUUGAUGGACCCCUCGGCUUAGAAUCGAAACGUUGUCUUCGACAACCGAGCUAGCAAGGCCGUGUUGACAUUUCUUUUUCUCCUUUUGUAAAUAGUCCUCAACGGUGCCAGAUGACAGGUAGCUCUGUUUGAACAAGCAAGUGUUACGACAGGUUUACUUAUCACUGCGUGCACAAUUUUGCAGAAAUAUGUGGCGCUGCUAUUUUCCCCUCAUUUUUCAAAACACUUUCCUCCCCCUCAAAACCUCAUUUGUGCUGCUCAUGAAUCGUCCGCCGCUGAUGGCAGGGGGAGACCAGCCUCGUUACCGGAUGAAAAGAUAAAAGCUGAUGCUACCAUUUUAGGCACUGGCACGAUGCAGCGGCUGUGCCCUCAGAUAACCUCGACGCCAACCGCUGACUUCUGGAACUUUCUCAGACGUGCUGUAUCACGUCGCGAAGGCCGAAACAUUUUCUUUGACGUGCUUCCUAUCUGGGAACUGUCAAAGGAAAUAAAACCGCAAUUCCCUGGAAAGCGGCCUGCGAGUGCUCGUAGAAGAUGAUUGUGAUCCAUUCAAGACCGCUUGGAAAUCUGCGUUCCCGCUGACACUAAGACCAAAGAGGACCUUUCAGGUGGUGGAGGUGAACCUCCAAUGGCUCCUGAGUGAGCAGCUGGAACAUUCCGUGACUCCUUCACGCAAGUCAAGUAAGGCCAGAUCCUGCCACUGAGCGUCUUUGAACGACAACGUGGUACCCGAUUGCAAGGGAAGCAAAGAAGCAUCAACGUAUCGCAACAAAGUGGAAAGUGAGUGGAUGCACGGCCGAGCCACGCGUCAGACGCGCUCAGACUUGCGUCAUGUGGAGGAGGAUGCAGCCAACCUGAGUCAUCUGGUUCCAUUCAUGAGUGCCACUUGGCUCUCCAGAAAAACCGAAACAAAAGUGUUGUUAUUGAGAAGCGGUGCCCGGUGACAUCUGCACCAGCAGCUGGCACAACUCUCCAGACAAAAUGGAUCUCAUGGCAACCAGGUCGCCAUGGCAACCGGGACACAGAUGCCACGCUGAGGCCGUCUGAGAAUUAUCCAGGAUGGAGGCGAGGGCGUUUGAAAAGUGAACCUCUUGGGACCAGUGUGAACCAGAGCUCGUGGAUGGUGAAGAAAGAAGGAAGAAAAAAAAAAGUUUGACCUCAACACCAGCUGGGAGCUCCUGAAGCAAGUGCAGGGACGUUUGUCAACGCUAGACGGCGCUGGACCCACACACACACAAGUGAAGCUGGCGCUCUCUGCACGGCUUUAAUGUGAAGACGUGAUGUCAGCAUGCUGGUCGGAAUGCUAAUGAUCUCACAUACCCACUCAAGUCAUAAAAAUGCCACCGGUGUCAUUUUUAUGACAUCGUUAGCAUAGUUGUGACCAAACCAUGUGUUUGGUUUUUCACACAAUCAGAAUUUUUUUUUUGGGAGUGAGGCCUUGAUUUGUGCAUACCUGGAAUAAUAUUAAUCAAACCUUGUUAGCUUAUGUGUAUGCUGCAAUUGAAAUCAAGUAACGCAAGAUCGUUAAUACUGAGUAAGGAACUCGUUUACUGUGUGCUAUAUUUUGUUGCCAAAUGCGGUUUGGACUGGAACAUUAUAAUUGUCAUUGGAGCGGUCAUCCCUGUAAAAUAUAAGGUCGUAUUUAAUACUGAAACGUGCAAAUACAAAAAUCUUUUAAUCAUAACCACCACAUGGAUGACACCUUAAAAAUGUAAUAACUUGACCUUCAAAAAGAUCCUUCCUGCUCGGACCACAAUCACAAGAGUAAAAACAACUCCAAAAACCGCCACAAGAGGGCGUAAGAUCCCCAAGAAACGCCAAUUAAUAAAUAUUUUGAAUGAACUUUUUUAAGUUGAGGAAACGCUGCUUUGAUAUACAACAAAAUUACCAAAUACCAUCGCAUGAUAUUUUUUGAUUCAAGGCGCA